AAAAGUCCAAAAUGUGAUUAAGAGAGCAAAGUGGAAACUAAAAAAUAUACAAACUUUUGCCACGGCGUUUGUACCUGGGGCAAGGUGGUCAACAAAGAAGCUAAGAUUAAAAUUAACCAGCAAAUCAGAUCUAGAUAAAUACUUACUAUCAGUGAAUCGAUGAAUGAAAAGGCUAGGAUCCGUAGGUUUUUGAACAAACGGGCGGUUCUCAAGGCUUAGAAAUUUGCAAAGCUGUAAGAACACAGCACCUAAAAUAUACCU
rnacentral:lncRNA from 1 species